UACAGAGGUCCCAAGCGUUGUUCGGAUUCAUUGGGCGUAAAGGGUGCGUAGGUGGCGCCGUAAGUCAGGUGUGAAAUUUCGGAGCUUAACUCCGAAACUGCAUUUGAUAUUGCGGUGCUUGAGGACUGGAGAGGAGACUGGAAUUUACGGUGUAGCAGUGAAAUGCGUAGAGAUCGUAAGGAAGACCAGUGGCGAAGGCGGGUCUCUGGACAGUUCCUGACACUGAGGCACGAAGGCCAGGGGAGCAAACGGG
rnacentral:rRNA from 1 species